ACGGCUAGGGGAGCAUUUGGCUGAGACAAUGCAUUUUAUGCAUGAACCCUCAUUACCUGAUCCGGUUAAUACCGGCGUAGGGAAGCAC
rnacentral:ncRNA from 1 species